UGAGGAAUAUUGCGCAAUGGGCGAAAGCCUGACGCAGCAACGCCGCGUGAGCGAUGAAGGCCUUCGGGUCGUAAAGCUCUUUUCCCAGGGAAGAGAAUGGACGGUACCUGGGGAAUAAGUCACGGCUAACUACGUGCCAGCAGCCGCGGUAAAACGUAGGUGGCAAGCGUUAUCCGGAUUCACUGGGCGUAAAGCGCACGCAGGUGGCACGGCAGGUAGGGCAUGAAAACUCCUGGCUUAACUAGGAGAGGCUGUCCUAAACCGCCGGGCUUGAGGGUGAGAGAGGGAAGUGGAAUUGCCGGUGUAGUGGUGAAAUGCGUAGAGAUCGGCAGGAACACCAGUGGCGAAAGCGGCUUCCUGGCUCACUUCUGACACUCAUGUGCGAAAGCUAGGGGAGCGAACGG
rnacentral:rRNA from 1 species